ACGGAAGGCAGCAGUGGGGAAUAUUGCACAAUGGGGGAAACCCUGAUGCAGCGACGCCGCGUGAGUGAAGAAGUAUUUCGGUAUGUAAAGCUCUAUCAGCAGGGAAGAAAAUGACGGUACCUGACUAAGAAGCCCCGGCUAACUACGUGCCAGCAGCCGCGGUAAUACGUAGGGGGCAAGCGUUAUCCGGAUUUACUGGGUGUAAAGGGAGCGUAGACGGCAAGGCAAGUCUGAUGUGAAAGGUGGGGGCUCAACCCCCAAACUGCAUUGGAAACUGUCUGGCUCGAGUGCCGGAGAGGUAAGCGGAAUUCCUAGUGUAGCGGUGAAAUGCGUAGAUAUUAGGAGGAACACCAGUGGCGAAGGCGGCUUACUGGACUGUAACUGACGUUGAGGCUCGAAAGCGUGGGGAGCAAACAGGAUUAGAUACCCUGGUA
rnacentral:rRNA from 1 species